rnacentral:lncRNA from 1 species
AGUUGGGAACCUAACAGGGCACCAGGCCCUGGCAAUGGAUGCAGGCGAGGACGACAUGGACGCCGACACAGAAUAUGAGAACGAUGACAGCCGCGAGCCGAGCAACGAAGCGGGGAUUGCUGAAAUGGAUCAUCUGUUGAGUGCUGUACACCACAUCGUA